UUCCGCUAGAUGGCGCACGAUCAAAACAAUAACAAUCGCGCAGCUUGAUGACGCUGUGUAGAAGCGUGGAAUGAUGGGAUAUGCUGUCUUCAACUCCACCGCUGAUGAUAACGCUGAUACAUCAAUCAGACGGGAACGAGAAAUCAUGUUUGCUGAAUAGAAAAAAAGGGAUACAGCUAAAAAAAAGGGUAAGGCAGAUAUGAAGACAUUGACAGGCGACUAAAUGGCCCAGUAAAGAGUUCAUGCGGGCUUCCAGGUGCCCGCAGACACCACGUUGGACACCAUGGGUUAGAGUGUAUAUGCGGUAAGGAUGAGACCUUUCCUGACCACACUAAAGAAUAAUUUAAUGAUACCUUAAAUAAUAAUUUCUUGAAGAAAAAUGUAAAUGAGUCUAAAUGAGACCCGAUUAGUUUGUGAUCAACAACUUUGUCAGAUUUGCCUUGCAAGGAGUUAUUUUUUAACUGCUUGAUUUUAUAUGUUAAUUACAUUUACAUUUUAAGGCAUUGUGAAUGUAAACCCUCAAUUCCAAAUCAAUCUUGUUAUCCAACAUAUUUUUUCAAAAUCUUUUAUACAUCCCUUCAUGGCAUAUUUAAGUCUCACUUGAAUGCUCUUCGAUGGGAGUGUGUCUAAAAUGUCCAGAAACAUCUUCUGACAAGGUUUUCAAACUCUGUCUGCUUGUCUGAGGUAGCAACAGUAUCUAAGGGGGCAGCUUACUUAUCCAAUGGGUCAAUUCACAACCUUACCCCUAGAUGCCAAAAAAAUUAAUAAACUGGACCUUUAAAAUAGCCUGCCUAGACUGCUGCCCCCACGACCCGUCCCCAGAUAAGCGGAAGAAAAUGGAUGGAUAGAUGGAUGUUAGAUGGAUGGACCUUUAAAAUGGAUAUUUAUAUUUAAAUUUUGGAUAAUAUAAAAGCAGUUGUUAUCUGGGAAUAUACGCAAAUAUUCAUGUUAAACACAAUACUGAUAUUUUUACAUUUAUGUUGGGAUAAGUUUCAAAUUGAAUAUAUUAUUAAAUAAUACAGAUUCUCAACUUUCAUCCAUCUUUGCAUUCUCUAAGUCUUUUAUUGCUAUUGGGUGACUUUAUGUCAUUAUCCAGGUUUGUUUCUGAUAAAAUUCAACAGAUGCUGUAAUUGAUAUAACACACAGAGAAAUGCUGAGUAAAGCCUGGUGUGGUCUCUUAUUUUUCUGUGGCUCUACAUUAUAUGAUUAAUAUACAUUCAUUAAAA